AUGGCAUGAAACAUAAAAUUCCAGUGAUCCAAUGGAAGUGGAGGAUUGGUUCUCAUUCUGCCCUACUCAUACCUAGAUAACUCCUGCUUUCCCCUUAGGUCAGAGGUCUUCUCAACUAGAAAAGCUUCCCUAACUUACCUGCAUUUCCAUCUGUAUUUGUGCAGAUUUGUUUCCUAAUCUAAUCCGUUACAAAAAAAUUAUGUUUUCAUAUCUGCCUCUGAACUCCCAACCUCCACCCAAACUUGGCAGUCUUUGAGGGCAAGGGUUUUCAUUAUCUUUGUACCUAGAGACUGCUGCUGCUGCUGCUAAGUCGCUUCAGUCGUGUCCGACUCUAUGUGACCCCAUAGAUGGCAGCCCACCAGGCUCCCCUGUCCCUGGGAUUCUCCAGGCAAGAACACUGGAGUGGGUUGCCAUUUCCUUCUCCAAUGCAUGAAAGUGAAAGUGAAGUCGCUCAGUCGUGCCUGACUCUUAUCGACCCCAUGGAGUGCAGCGUACCUGGAGAUUGGGAUAGAGUAAAAACCAAUAAAUGUUUGUGGGGACCUGGAAAAGGGAAAAAUAGAAGAGGCUCCUCUGGUCAGUCUCUAAGAACCAGGUACCGACAGUACUUGAAUCCCUGCUUCCUUUGUGACCAUGAGAGGACGAUGCUGAGAUACCCUAAGAAGUGCAUGUGGGAUCUGGGCACCAUAGUAGGUCAGUCAGUUCAGUCACUCAUUUGUGUCUGACUCUUUGCAACCCAUGGGACGUAGGAGAGGGGAGAUUUCUGACCUAGGAUCUUCCUAGACCUUCAAGUCACAUCAGGGUUGUUCUGUUUACAGACAAGACUGGCCUCAGUGAGUACGCACUCUUUCCUGUCUUUCCUGCUUCCGUGUGACUAGGUUUCCUUACUGUAAUCCAUUUAAGGAGUGAAAAGUCCAGGUUCACCUUCCUACCAGGCAUGGGCCCUCUCACUUUGUAAAACCGAAAAAAUGCCCUGGUGGGGGAUGGUCAGAAGAGUAAGAAAAGUCUUCUCUAUUUAAGUGUGGAAGUCAGAAGGUUAGGAAGCAGACAUGAUGAUUUAUGGAUCUGGGACCAAGGUUUGGCUAGCUCUGUCUGCAGUCCCCUCACCCCCUUUCCCCUCCAGGGCUCACAUAGCUCUCUGGCCGCCUCAGUCUUAUUUCUGCACCUCACCCUUUCUGAUCUAUUCAGCACUCUCCCAGGCCGUGGCAGCACAGGAGAACAAAGAGUCAUGCAGAGUCAGUAAUGAUGGUUUCCAUGGACUGUCUCCAGUGGUUACAGCCGGACACACACACACCCCCAGAGGGUGCUGCCUCCUACUUAAGCC
ensembl:lncRNA